rnacentral:rRNA from 1 species
GAUGAACGCUGACAGAAUGCUUAACACAUGCAAGUCUUUGGCGAAGCUGUGCUUGCACAGCCUGGCCAAGGCGGACGGGUGAGUAACGCGUAAGGAACUUGCCCUGCAGUCAGGGAUAACAGACGGAAACGACUGAUAAGACCUGGUAAAGUCAGGCGGACUCAUGUCCAGCCUGAUGAAAAGAGAUGCUGCAGGAGAGCCUUGCGUCCUAUUAGCUUGUUGGUGGGGUAACGGCCCACCAAGGCGAUGAUAGGUAGCCGGCCUGAGAGGGUGGAUGGCCACAAGGGGACUGAGAUACGGCCCUUACUCCUACGGGAGGCAACAGUGGGGAAUAUUGGACAAUGGGGGCAACCCUGAUCCAGCAAUUCUGUGUGCACGAUGAAGGUUUUCGGAUUGUAAAGUGCUUUCAGCAGGGAAGAAAAAAAUGACGGUACCUGCAGAAGAAGCGACGGCUAAAUACGUG